rnacentral:lncRNA from 1 species
AUGCAUUCAAGUUUGCAGGAACGCACACUAGGAAUCUGGCAUAUACUUCAUUUGACUUUUUCCCUCACCAUCCACUCAGUCCCUCAGACAUCUAAAGCCAACCCUCGCCCUCAGCUCUGCCACAGCCGGAAAAAGAUCCAAGUUCAGUUUUCAAGCAUUUGUCUCUUACAUCAUCGUCAGCCCCGUCCACUAGACUUGGAAUCAACAUCAAGGUUUAGCUCACUGUCAAUGCAAAGGAAAGAAGAGAAAAGAAAAGGCCCCAUGGUUCAUCAGGAGCAUCGUAACCAGAACCAUUCUUGGUUCCCUCUUCUGCAUCCUGGAGCAUCUCUCGGCCAUGAGCUAAGACUGGGCCAAGAAAAGAAAAAAGUCCAAGUAACAAUUCAGCUGGCUAGAGCACAUACAUUGAGGAGAGAGUUAAAAGGGGAGGUUUCCAUAAUGAAUUAUCACUCAAUUCAAGCCGUCUCAGAUGUUGUAGCAAAGUAUAUGGCUCCAGAAGGUGGCUCAAGAUUUCUUGCAAACUCUUCUAAAAGGUGA